UAUGGCCACAUCACAUUGAAACACUGGUCCCCAUACAAUCACUGAAGUUAAGCAAUGUCAAGCCUGGUCAGUAUCUAGAUGGGUAACCACUUUGGAAUACUAGGUGCU